CUGGGCUACACACGUGCUACAAUGGCCGGUACAGACGGACGCAAAGCCGCGAGGUGGAGCAAAUCCUAAAAAGCCGGUCUCAGUUCGGAUUGCUAGGCGUGCAAUUCGCCUGCAUGAAGUCGGAAUCGCUAGUAAUCGCAGGUCAGCAUACUGCGGUGAAUACGUUCCCGGGCCUU
rnacentral:rRNA from 1 species